UGCAGCAGGGACUUGCUGUGUUUUAACUAUUAUUUUGCUGUUGUGUGUGACCACCCUCCCUAUGAACUGCAUCGUCUUUCACUUGUAUGCACCGUGUGAAUAAACAAAGCAUCGUUUUUUACACCAAGACCAUUCUGUGUUGCCUCUGUAC